UAGAACUCUGGUAGAACCAAAUGCAUCAACUGCCUAAACCAAAAUUUUCAGUGUAAGUUUACAAGAAUUGACAAAUGAGAUUGCCAAAUUUAGUCUUGUUCUCCUACUACCAUCUAUCUGCCCCAUUCCCCCAGCCAAAGAAAAGAUAUGAGAAAAGAAAAAGGUUGGGGACCACUUAUUCACCCUAAUGCUAUUCUAUUUCUAUUAUAUAGAAACAAUUUUGAAAGCUAAUGGUCUGAUAAAUAGGCUUAACUGUGUUUUUAAAAUCUGUACACAAUAUCCAACAUACAUAUUGACGCUUACAAAUAAAAUAAAUUUUUUAAAAUGAAUCAAAAUGUGUUUGCUAAAUAGUUUGAAGUCACAUACUUUAGCAAUUCAACAAGUACUGGGUGUGUGUGUGUUGGCACGUGUGUGUCUUUUGUCCAGGAAACCAGGCUGCUAGGUGGUGUUUCCAAACUACAGUAGUCCUCACUUAUCCACAGGGGACACGUUCUAAAUCUCCCAGCAGAUGCCUGAAACUGUAGUUAGUACCAAACCCUACAUAUACAAUAUUUUCCUAUACAAGCAUACUUAUAAUACAAUUUAAUUUAUAAAUUAGGCACACUGAAAUUAACAACUAAUAAUAAAAUAGAACAAUUAUAACAAUACACUGUAAUAAAAGUUACAUGCGAUCUGUCUCUUUUCAUGUCUUCCACCCACAAAUUUUAAGAUGGAAAAUGCCUUUCCCAUCUUAACUAAGCACUUAUCAUGCACCUUGGCUGUAAAUUUACAGUAUGAGGUGUCCCAGCAAAACUAGCACAAAUUUAUUUUUUCUUCUGUACAACUUCAUAGAAGCUUCAUUCUUACUGUACAUCUUAGCAACCUCAGCAUAUGACUUCUUUUCUUUUCUUAAGCCAAGACCUUUACCUUUUCACUCAAUGGAAGCACUUUAGAACUUCUCCUUGGCAUAUCUGAAUUGACAUCAUCCCCACUCUUACACUUUGAGGUCAUUAUUAAGUAAAAUAAGGGUUACAGGAACACAAACACAGAUACCGGUGAUAGUCAAUCUAAGAACCAAGAUGGCUACUAAAUGACUAACAGGCUGGUAGCACAUUAAAGCGUGGAUAAGCUGGACAAAGGGGUGAUUCAUGUCCCGGGCAGGAUGGAGUGGGUGGGACAGCAUGAAAUUUCAUCAUGCUACUCAGAAUGGUGAAUGACUUAAAACCUAUAAAUUGCUUAUUUCUGGAAUUUUCUCUUUAAUAUUUUCAAACUGAAGUUGACCAUGAGUAACUGAAAGCACAAAAAGUCAAACCAAAGACAAGAGGGGAAAGGGCAAGCAGAGCUAAAAUCCAGCAAAAGUUCUCCAUUCCAAGCUCUGCAAUUAUGAAUCUAAACCUGCUCAGAGGAAGAAGCACCUUCUAUCACAUACAAACGGGCUAGUGAUGGCUCUGCUGGCCACUACAAUGGGCAAUGGGGAAAAAAAUGAGAUAAAAGAUCAUCAGAUUAUACUUGUUACUCAAAAAAGUAUCAUCACUAUCAGAUCAGAAUUGAGUACAACUGUUUCUGCUAUAACACAAUAUAUGCAUUCCCAAAUAAUAAUGUGCUCUAUAAAAUAAAAACAGCUGAACUUACAGAGAAAACACAAUUAGAGCCAGACUACUCAAAAUCUGUGGAAUUUUCAAAUCUGAGUCCUAACAAAACAACAACAAUCCUUAGAAAAAUAUUAGUAUAGUUUACGUUUCCAGUGGCAUGUGUAUCAAUAAGCCAGUUCAUCCUUUCAAGUUUCAUAUCCUGAAGCUCAUGCUUCUCCCUUUGAAGUGAUUCCUUGAAGAUACUCACUUCUAAUAGAGAACAGGUCAUGAAAAAUUAAAAAGAUCAUCUAGAGGUAGCUUUCUCCAUCAAUUUCUUUUUAACAAAAGUGAGCUAUCCUUAUAGCUUCUUCAACAAAACUUAUAAUUUCCUCAGAUCUUGUAACAUAGUGGAAUAAAUAUCAAUUUUCAAGCCAAUAAACCAGUACUUUAUUGCAAUAUAGAAAGGUACUUUUCCAGAAUUUUCAGCAUUUUUUCUUAAACUAAGGCUCUCUCUUUAGUUGUGAAGGAGCUUUCCUCUUGAUCAUUCCAAAACAUUAACGUGUUUAAAGUGGUUUGGAAAAAAGUUCCAAACCAAAUUCCACAUUAUUGACAUCAUUCCCUUAUAUGCCAAAUGUUUAAAAAAGGUUUUCAGACAGAAGGAAAAUUAUAUAGGUCACAAAUAGGGGUCUAUAUAAAAAAGAAUGCUAGAGAAUAAGUGAAGGUAAAAUAACAGCUUUUAUUUUGCUUAUCUUUAAUGGAUAAGCAAAAUAAUUAUCUAAUUGAUAAUGGAUCUAAUGGUUUGUUGAAAUAAUAGCAACCAGUAAUCAAUUAUGUAUACGUGUGUAUGCUUAUUUACAAGUGAAAGUGACACAAAGGACAGGAGAGAAGAAUUAGGAUUAUUUUGUUAUUAUAAGGCACUUGCACUACCCAGGAAGGGGUAUGUUAUUUGAAAGAAUACUUGGAUUAGGGGUAUAUGUACAUUGCAAACUCUAGGGUGACCACUAAAAAAAAGUUAAAAAAAAGAAGUAUAAUUGAAAUACUAAAAAAGGAGAGAAAGUAAACCAUAUAAAAUGUUCAACUAUAGCUACAAAAUCCAGAAAAAGUAUGGAAGACAAAAAUGUUCUUAUCAAGACUGCCUAUUUACAUACCAAAGUACAAAUUUAAAGAAUAUUUGAACAUACAGGAACUAGUUUGGGGAAACAUCUCCAACAUCCAAGACAGUUGUUUGAUUUGGAAUAUACCGGCAAGUUUCCUUGAAUAAAACAAAGAAACAUGUCUUUAUGUGUCAAAAAUUUAUCCUGAAAGUAACUGAUUUCAUUUCCCA